rnacentral:rRNA from 1 species
GACGAACGCUGGCGGCGUGCUUAACACAUGCAAGUCGAACGGAAAGGCCCUGCUUUUGUGGGGUGCUCGAGUGGCGAACGGGUGAGUAACACGUGAGUAACCUGCCCUUGACUUUGGGAUAACUUCAGGAAACUGUGGCUAAUACCGGAUAGGAGCUCCUGCUGCAUGGUGGGGGUUGGAAAGUUUCGGCGGUUGGGGAUGGACUCGCGGCUUAUCAGCUUGUUGGUGGGGUAGUGGCUUACCAAGGCUUUGACGGGUAGCCGGCCUGAGAGGGUGACCGGCCACAUUGGGACUGAGAUACGGCCCAGACUCCUACGGGAGGCAGCAGUGGGGAAUAUUGCAUAAUGGGCGGAAGCCUGAUGCAGCAACGCCGCGUGCGGGAUGACGGCCUUCGGGUUGUAAACCGCUUUCGCCUGUGACGAAGCGUGAGUGACGGUAAUGGGUAAAGAAGCACCGGCUAACUACGUG